rnacentral:rRNA from 1 species
CGAGACCUCAGGUCAGGCGGGGCUACCCGCUGAAUUUAAGCAUAUCAAUAAAGCGGAGGAAAAGAAACUAACAAGGGAUUCCCUUAGUAACGG